GGGAUGGAGUCUGCCGGUGUCCAUGAAACAACCUAUAACAGCAUAAUGAAAUGUGAUAUUGACAUCCGUAAAGAUCUUUAUGCU